rnacentral:rRNA from 1 species
AGAGUUUGAUCCUGGCUCAGAACGAACGCUGGCGGCGUGGUUUAGGCAUGCAAGUCGAACGAUGAGCUGUAAUGCUCAGAGUGGCAAACGGGUGAGUAACACAUGGGUAAUCUGCCUUUUAGCCCGGAAUAACUUUGCGAAAGCGAGGCUAAUACCGGAUAACAGUGCGAUUUCCCCCGAAGUUGCAUUUAAAGACGGGGACCCCAACAGGGCCUGUCACUGAAAGAGGAGCCCUUGUCCUAUCAGCUAGUUGGUAGGGUAAUUGCCUACCAAGGCAAAGACGGGUAGCUGGUCUGAGAGGAUGGUCAGCCACACUGGGACUGAGGCACUGCCCAGACUCCUACGGGAGGCUGCAGUCGAGAAUCUUUUGCAAUGCGGGAAACCGUGACAAUGCGACGCCGCGUGAGCGAUGAAGCCCUUCGGGGUGUAAAGCUCUGUCAGCCCGGAUGAAUAUUCGUUUUUUAAUAAAAAACGAAAAUGACAGUACGGGCAGAGGAAGCCACGGCUAACUCCGUGCCAGCAGCCGCGGUAAUACGGAGGUGGCAAGCGUUGUUCGGAUUUAUUGGGUGUAAAGGGUAUGUAGGUGUCCUGACAAGUCGAACGUGAAAUCCCUUGGCUUAACCAAGGAACUGCAUUCGAAACUGUCAGGAUUGAGUAUGGAAGAGGAGAGUGGAAUUCCCGGUGUAAGGGUGAAAUCUGUAGAUAUCGGGAGGAACACCAGUGGCGAAAGCGGCUCUCUGGUCCAAUACUGACACUGAAAUACGAAAGCUAGGGGAGCAAACAGGAUUAGAUACCCUGGUAGUCCUAGCAGUAAACGAUGGGCACUAGGUGUCGGCCGCAAGGUCGGUGCCGCAGUUAACACAUUAAGUGCCCCACCUGGGGAGUACGGCGGCAACGUUGAAACUCAAAGGAAUUGACGGGGACCCGCACAAGCGGUGGAGCAUGUGGUUUAAUACGACGCUACGCGUGGAACCUUACCAGGACUUGACAUGCUGGUAGUAAGAACCCGAAAGGGGGAUGAACCGUUAAGCCGGUUGCCAGCACAGGUGUUGCAUGGCUGUCGUCAGCUCGUGUCGUGAGAUGUUGCGUUAAGUCGCGCAACGAGCGCAACCAUCGUUGUUAGUUGCUACUCCGAUUCGUCGGAGGCACUCUAGCAAGACUGCCAGUGUUUAACUGGAGGAAGGUGGUGACGACGUCAAGUCAGUACGGCCCUUACGUCCUGGGCUACACACGUGCUACAAUGGCCGGUACAAUGAGGAGCGAUACCGCAAGGUGAAGCAAAUCUCAAAAAGCCGGUCUCAGUCCAGAUUGAAGGCUGCAAUUCGCCUUCAUGAAGCUGGAAUCGCUAGUAACCGCGGAUCAGCUAUGCUGCGGUGAAUACGUUCCCGGGUCUUGUACACACCGCCCGUCAAGUCACCUGAGUCGAGUGCACCCGAAGUCACCGUUCCAACCCGCAAGGGAGGAAAGUGCCGAAGGUGUGCUUGGUGAGGAGGACUAAGUCGUAACAAGG